rnacentral:rRNA from 1 species
UACGAAGGACCCGAGCGUUAUCCGGAUUUAUUGGGUUUAAAGGGUGCGUAGGCGGAUUAGUAAGUCAGUGGUGAAAGCCCAUCGCUUAACGGUGGAACUGCCAUUGAUACUGCUAGUCUUGAGUAUGGGUUGAGGUGGGCGGAAUGUGUCAUGUAGCGGUUGAAAUGCUUAGAUAUGACCCAGAACACCAAAUUGCGAAGGCAGCUCGCUAAGCCAUACUGA